rnacentral:rRNA from 1 species
GAUGAACGCUAGCGGCAGGCUUAAUACAUGCAAGACGAACGGUAACUGGUGUAGCAAUACAUUAGCAAGAGUGUCGUACGGGUGCGUAACACGUAUGCAACCUACCUUGUACAGGAGGAUAGCUCGGGGAAACUCGAAUUAACCCUCCAUGAGAUCACAGUGUGGCAUCACAUAGUGAUUAAAACUCAGGUGGUACAAGAUGGGCAUGCGUCUGAUAGUUAGUUGGCGGGGUAAUGGCCCACCAAGACGAUGAUCAGUAGGGGACCUGAGAGGGUGA